AGAUGUGCUUUGCUUCUCCUUCACCCUCUGUGAUGAUUGUAAGUUUCCUGAGGCCUCCACAGCCAUGCAUAACUAAUCAUCAAUAUAUACAUGAAGAAAGUGAUGCUAUCAUAAUGUCAUGUGAAAAUUAUACUGGCAAAAGAGUGGGGAUUAUGCUUCAGGUGGCGGAGGUAGCUUGAAGUCCAACAUUAAUAAAGGGAGC